UGAUUAUGCUUUUAAGCAGGACCUGUUCAAACCGGCUCUGUAAUUCCAUCAUAGGGGAGGCUGAACCAGGAGGAGAAUUGAGAGUUCAAGGCCAGCCUAAACUACAUAGUGAAUUUCAAGCUAGUUUGGAUUACACAGCGAGUUUCUGUCUCAUCAAAACAGCACAUUUACGGAAUUACAAGACCCUGGGUGAAAUAUUCUAUGCUUUGACCAGAAGAGAAUCUGAGGUCUUUUUUGUCUUCCAGGUGCGGUGGAGCUGAGUUCCACCAGUCUGAGCUCGCAGGGGCCUUUGUUCACGGUUCUAAGAGGCUUUGUUCUCAGUCUUCUGAGAUGCUCUGUUCUCAACGUUCUGAAGUUCUAAAUCUGAGCCUGCCUGCUUUCGAAGGCUGCAUUCUGCCUCUUCUCACUGGGCAAGCCGGGCUAGCGCCCCCUCACGCGGCCAGCAUGUGUCACUACACCCGGUGUGUCGGCAACGUUUGUGAAAUAGCCCAUUUCUCAGACGGACCUUUGACUCCUUAAAAGCUCAGAUCUGGAAGGGAGGAUGGGGCCGUAGAAUCGCGU
rnacentral:lncRNA from 1 species